UGGGUGCUUCUAAAAAUUUGGACUCUAUCUGCCUGGAAGAGAUGAUGCAUUGCCCUGUAUUUAUAUUUAUUUAGCAUGAGGGUUCUUCAUUAAUUUAGGAGUCGCUGAUGGAAAGCAUUGAAGUUAGCACCUGACACAAUGCUGCCCUGGCUGGGGGCCUGCCAAAAAAGGGAAGCUGGAGGUCUCAGCUGCCAAGUGCCAUCAUCUUCUCUUGAACUGCAACCAGCCCAUGAUGGUGACUCAGUAGUGAUGACUGAGUCAAUGGAUAUCUUUAUUGUAUUGAUGAAAAUAUAACAACAAAUCCGCUUCCACUCACAUAAGCCUACAGGUAUCUUUCUGCCAAGAAACAUCUUGCUUUAUGAAAUGUGAAGUGGAGUUUGUGCCCUCUCUAAGCACUAAACUAGCUAAAGGUGAAAAGUUUUGUGGACUUUUUUUUUUUUUAAGUGCUGUUUUCAAAACAUUUUCUGCUUCUUUAUGAGAUGUUUCUGCAAAGCUGACCUGAAAAUCUAAUGAGUAGGUUUGGAAGAGAUGCAGACACAACAGCCUGAUUUGGGUAUCCUACUGGGGUGGAGGGGGAAUUGCAAUUUCACCCAAUUCAGACAUUUACUCAUAUAUUUCUGUGAUGUCCUACAUGUAAAGUUUGAAGUCUUAUAACCGGUAUCAGCUGAAUAUUUUCCAUUAAUGGUAACACUGGGAUUUCAGAGGGAAAACUAUUCCCUGUCUUUCUUACUCCCAAUGACAGGGCCAAGUAGUGCUAAUGUCAAUCAAGAAACUCAAUUUAGAAAAGGAAAGGAGAGGGGCUUGCUGGGUCUAUGUCUGUAUAUACAGACAAAAUAGUCUUUAUGCAUUGAAGGAGAGAUUUUCUGUAGAUUAUUAUCCAGGAGUGACCUAUCUAUGUAUGAAGCAUGGAUUUUUGGUUCUGAUCCUUAUGGGUUGGGGAGGUUUGUGUUACUUACAGAGUACAAAGAAAGAUUUUUUUUAACCAGGAAAUUGACUUAGUCUGCCUUGUUUCACCUCAGAAACACUAGGAAUAUUAAGUUCAAUUUUGCCUGUCUUGCUUAGUGUCCUCAUUUAUGUGAAUUCCUCACCCCUGUAAUUGGAGAGCUGAACAUUAAAGCAGCUUUCUCCCUUCUCAAUUUUAAAAAAAAUUUGCCUGUCCAAGUCUUUCUGCCUUCAUUUUUUUUUAAAUUUUCAGAUUUCAGAGGAAGGAACCAGAGAGACAAGACUCAAAUAGUUACUAUAGAAGGCAAGUAAAGAAAAGCUUCCACAGCUAUAACAAAUUCCAGAUACAAUGGUUGUGGCCUGAUAUUUUUUCAUGACUUCCCUUUUAGCUAACCAACCUAACAUAAUGGUCAGAAUGCUGAAAAGGCAAGAGCCAGCUGGGAAGCAGCCUUGCCCUGCCUGCAGACGUGGUGCUGCUCUACUCCUGGCUGCUGAUCAAAUUGGUUGCUGCAGGAAUGCCUUCAAUUUUUUCCCUCGGUGAAAAGUUAUUCUAUAUAUUAAUAUUUUCUGUCUAAAUCUUGAGCUGAAAGUACAAAGAGAAAUAGUGAUGUAUUGAUGCUUUUUGGAGAGGAAAGUUUGACGCAGAGAAAUUGGCUCAUGCCAGCAAGAACCAGCCAUGGGAUGGUUGUCAGUCACUUUGUCACUCCUCGUUUUUGAGGAAGGUUGACAGAUCUGCCUGGCAAAUGCACUGGCUUAACCCAAGCUGUUUAUCUGGAUGUGAGUAACACUAAGACAAUUAGCUGCUGGCUUUUCUUGGGAAAAACUGAGAGGUAUGUGAUAUGCUCCCUAACUGGGGAAGUUAAUGACUUUAGGAUUCUCUGAGAAACAGAGAAUUAAAGAAUCAGACGGUCCUCUCUUAUUGCUCAGCAAAAAAUGCUCAUUUUCCUUUCCUUGAACAUAAACUUAUUCAGCUUCUAACACAGAAUCAAAAAUAUUAGAGAUUUAAGUGAUAUUUUCAGCCUUUGAAAUCUAAAAAUAGUAAGGAUUUGAUGAUUUGGGGGGGGGGGUUUCUUCUAAAAGAUGUUUUUAUUAAUCCCUUUUUUUUAGCAAAGAAAAUAAGACGUUUUCUGCCUGUCCUUUGGGGGAGAAGAAUUCGAGAAUAUUGGCAGGUUAAUGGAAGAAUACAAAUCUUCCAGUGUAAGAUUUCUAUAGUAGUCUGUUUUAACAGAGAAUACAAGUAAAAACUCCAAGUAAUUCUAAAUAUUUCCAGUCAGCUGUCAGUUUGACAUAAACUCUCUUUCUGAAAAUUGAUGGUUUCUUUUCCCACUCCACACUAGUUAUAGAAAAUAAACAUUUUAAUUUGAUCUCUGAUUUUUCUAUGCCACAUAGCAAUCUGGACCUUCGAGAGAAAAGAGAAAAAAAUCCACACACCCUUUUCUGUACACAAAUCAAUUGAAGUAAAUGUUUAUGCAAUUUGAUGCAGGUUGUGUUUUGAAAUAACAAAUUCCAGAUAUAAUGGUUGUGGCCUGAUAUUUUUUCAUGACCUCAAGAAUAUAUACAUAUAAUUUUUUUUUAGAAGGAUUUUGCAUGUCUUUACCUAGUGUGCUGUUUAUUUGUGACCUGUGGGGGAAAUCAGCCUCCCAAAAUGAGAAGUUUAAAAGCAUUGGGAUUAUUGAGCGGGACUAAUGAUUAUGAGUAUGUUAAGUGACCUGAUGAAUAAAAGUCUGCUGUGUGAGCAAGGCCUGAUCUGUCAAUAUGUGGGCUUAAGAGAAGGGGCUGUAUGAAACAUUAAAGAAAUUAGCUGUCUGAGGAAGCUCCAAGCUUGGUUUGAUGAUAUGAAAAAUCAGAGCUCUAGAAAAAUCCUUAAAGAACACAGGAAAAAAACCCACUUUUUUUUUUAUGGAGUUUUUGUAGAGGAGGAUAAGAAGAAUACUUAUUCUGAGAGGAUUUUUUUGAAAGUGAGAGUCCACUCUGACUGGACAAUGAAUGGGUGUUCACUGUCAAGGCUGUUGAAGGAGAUCACCACUGGGCCCACUGGGUUUCUCCAAGCUGACUUGGUAGCUGCUGCCCUUCAUGUGAUUGCUCCUCAGGCAACUGCAGUCAAACUGAUAAGAACUGAGAUAUUUGAAGUUCACCCCAUUAAUUUGAACUGGAGUGAGGGAGCUCCUACAUGUCAGCAGGUAGAAGGAGGCAGGGAGGUGGUAACAGACAGGGAUUCACGCAGCCACCUCGUCAGUGUGCUCCUUCUGCCUGACUUGCCAGGCUCUUUUAGGGCCUGAGCAUCUGUGGUGACUUUGCUUUCUCUCUGAUCCUCACUCUUUUGGUUUGCAUCUACUUCUGUCCCAGAUUUAUGUAAAUAACUUUUGAAAUUAUUUUGUGCAGCCUCCAAAGCUGUGAUGAACUUCAGAUGAAUAAAUUGCACACCUGAGACUGUGAAACACUGGUAAAUAAAACUGCAAGAGGAGAGAUCUCAGAAAAGAUGCAGACGAAGGAGUGGUUAGGAUAAUUUCUCAGGAGAAACUGUUUAAGUCUUCAUUUCCUCAUCAGGUGUUUUAAGAAUUCCCUGAGGCAUCUUGUGGUAGAACAAAAGCCUAAAUAAUCUUAAUUCUUGCCAACACCAGUCAUUCCUGUAAAAUUCAUGCCUUGCAUCUGUCUCUGUAGGCUCCAGAUGAAUCAGCACCACUUCACAAUAUUCCUACAAAGUACAGAGCCUGAUUGUGAGUGACGUUACUGUGUAUUAAGUUGUUUAGUUGGCUCUCCAAAGGCAGCUGCUGGUUUUGCCAGGAUAAUUUCAUGUCCAUUUUCCAAGCUCGCAAGCUUGUCCAGCACAGUAAUUUGUAUAAAAACUGUCUUAGUUGCCCAACAUCUUUCCUUGGAUGUUUAAAAGGUUUUUUCUAUCUCAGCCCUGUCUGCAUGUGUGGGUGCAUAUGUAUAAGGGGAAGUACAAAUAUCAAAUCCUUCCCCCGCUAGUCUAAACUACUUUGCUCUUGAACUGUUGCAUGUCGUGAACCCACUAUAAAAUUUACCAAAAAUAAAAUUGCAGGUGUAAAAGAAAGAAUUAGAUAGGCUUUUAAGCACGAUGUAUGGUCCCUGUAGCUUGUUUGACUGGGCAAGGUUUUAUUCACUUUGUAGAGUUCUCCAGCACCCCCCACUAUGUCCCCUGCUCACAAAUUCCUGGUGUCCUCCUGCUCUGCCCUGGGAUGUCUGGCACAUUGCCACCCUGCCUAGGAGGCACCAGCACAGUGGGCCAGGGCAGAGAUUUCAAGUAUUUUCAGAUAUUUUGGAAUUGUUUUCUCAGGUAGAGUGAGCCUGAGGAGACCCAGAACCUUGCUAAAAUGCUCUGCAGGUAUUGCCAAUCUUCUCGAGAGGACCAGCUCUGGGAAACAGGGACCUACAGCUCUGCCCAACACUCAGCCUAAAACCUGGAGACCAUCUAGAUUUGGCCGUAAGGGAUAAACAUCCAAGACUCCACGAGUUACGGUCACCACCUGUUUGGUAUGUAAAACCCUAACCUAUGUGUCCCUAUGCUUAAGAAGAAAGUACUUUCUGAGCAGCAGUUUGCAGCUAAUUUCACCUUUGUUGAUGGAAACACCAGGUAGAGUCUGGCUCUGGGGCAGUGCCCAUUGCUAUGUGUUCCUGCUCUGCCUCAGAGUACCCUACCCCCUCAAAAAAUGUGCUCAUUUACCUGAGACACACAAUUACGAAGGCUGGUGUCCCAUAUUUAUUUUUUCCUGUUGUCAAACAUCAACUAAAGAAAGCUUGCCAAACAGCUCAAACCAUUAUUUUUCUGUAUACCUUUCUUUGUUUGCCUUCUCCUUUUGCCAUCUGCUACCCAAAACCAAAGUAUAAUACGAAGACUGUCUGGUACCCCUGAAUGCCCUUGUUUUCUCUCUUAUUCCAUUACAUGCUUAUGCUUUACUGAGUCAUUCCAGCAACAUUUUUAGUUCCUGCUAAAAAGAUAAAAAAUUAGCCAUUUCAUGUUUUUUCAAGUUCAUCGUUGUAGCUUUUCUGGGGGGAGUUUUAGCAGAUUGACUCCAGACAAGCAAGGUUCUUCAAAAUGGUGGCCCUUUGAAAUGUAUAUGCGGGAUUUGGCAGAUUUUUCUUUCCCUUUUUAUUUUUCUUCCCCUCUUGGACUAGCUAUCAAAAGGGUAAAAAAAAAAAAUCACCUGUUUGAGAUUUGCAGCAUAUGUAAGUCUUCAGCUGGUGUGAAUAGCUUUCAGUGGCAUGGCAUGCCCCUUGCUAGUCCAACACCAGCAGUAUGUCAAUGGCUCCUGGGCAGUAUAAUUAUUUUCUGGUGAGAUUUUGAUCAAAGGUGUUUUGAAGGUGAGCACCGACUUCAAUUACUUCUGGUUUUUAACUGCUCUGGAGAAGUUUGUGUGUGACAGACAGCAAACAGAAACCUUAAGAGCAAACCCUUAGAGCAGCACAGCGCGUUGGUCAGUGGCACAGGAGUGUGCUGCACUGAAGGUGACUGGCUAACAUGCUUGCUUGUGCACAAGCCCAGAACUCAAAGAAUAACUUUGUGUACAUUUUCAGCUUAAAAUUUGGAGAGCUUCAGUUUCAUUUCUAUCCAAAUAGAUUUGAUUGUGUGCCUGGGCAUGUGUGCAUCUGCAGCGGUGAAUAAUUUACAGGAUGUACCCAUUUUUAGAGAGAGGUGGAUUCUAUUUUGGAUUAAAGAAAACAGAAGAAUAAACAAAAGUAAACUUGCGAAAGACCUCUAUGGGGGUUUUUGUUUUGUUUUCUUUACAAACGUUGCAGCUUUUGAGUAUGAAAGUACUAGUGUUUACAAACAGUUCUAAGGAGUACAGAAGCCCAGGAAAGAUAGUUUGUUUACUGGGAUAGUUUAAGAUGAGCAGUGAACAAAAGAUAGCUUUUAAUAGAGGAAAUGUGUGCAGGAGGAUUAUGGACACAGGCAAAUUACAGCAGUUAGAAUUUAAAGGAAAAAAUUCUUAACAGCUAUUCAGAGUAUCAUUUUGAAGUAAAGACAAAAAUCAACAGCAAAAACAUCUGUGAGUUUUGAUAAGGAGAAAAAUGCAGACAGUGGAAGCAGACACAGGAGUUUUUUUCCUCUAGAGAAUGAUGGUGGGAAUUAGGACUAGGUUAUGUUAAUCCAUUGGUGAACCAAAAUACAGGAAUUUGAAAAUGAACAGAACAAUGCACAAAAAUGACCUAGAGGAAUUGGUUAGUGCUGCUUAAUAUUCAUCUAAUUUCUCUGACAUUAGCCUAGUUUUGACUUGGUUAUGUAAGUGAAUGCAUAUAAGUCAGCCUUUACCUCUAAUGGAAUAUUGAUUUAAAAUCAUUUUUCACUUACUGAAAACUCCCUGAAGAAUGUCCAGAGCUUCCUCACUCCAGCUUUUUGCUGAUGAGGUUGUAUUUUCUUUGGGAAGUACUCUGACACGCAGCCUGAUUACCAGAGUAGCUCAGUACUGAUUACAUAAAGCACUGGUGAGAAACAGGGGCUUGAUGUACCAACAGGCUACUGAUCUGCCUUUUUGUCUCUAGAAAGCAGUUCUGGUAAAGUCUGAUUUUAGCAGUGCAUGUGAUUGUACAGAUGUUUUAAGUAAAGCAGGCAGUUGAAAGAUGCUGUAAGUAGCAAAGAAGACAUAUGGGCGAGGUACUUGAGUUAUACUUGCAGACACCCUGUAGUGCUCCUGGUUAUCCCUCUCUGUGCCAAUCGUACUACUCAGAGACUUACGCUGAAUAAACUGAACAAAAAUCUAAAAAUGAAAUACUCUCAGUACUUGCACUACAUGUAGCAUAAUCUGAUAAAACUAACCCCCACACAGCCACUAUAACAGUAGCCCUAGGAAGGGCAGAGUAGGAUCAAAAGAAGAAGGGGGAAAGAGAGGAACCAGGCUGCAGCAGUUAGCGAAGCUGAAACAGAACUCACUCUGGUGCGGUGAUACGUGGUCCCUUCCUCAGCGCACACGAGUCCCUCUGAGGGCUGACCUCGGUGGAAAAGGCUUUUAUAUGCUCAAGCACUGUUUAUUAAUAUGCAAACCACUCCCCAUGACAAGUAUGCCUUCAUUACUCACUCUCUCCCCCCUCUCAUACACAGGCAGACACAGAGCAAAUUCAUCAUUUUCUCAGAUAACAAGCAAGGUUGGUGACUUUUGGGACUAAUACAACAAAAUGUGUGCUGGAGUUUUUCAGCCUGUGUUUAAAGACAAGAAAUACUUUAAAGUGCCAUUUAAAAACAUAUAUAAUAAUUAUUAAAACACAGACCCUGGUGAGCUCAGUCAGACGAUGGGUGUUUUUUCUAAAUGUAAGAAGUGUGGAACAAGCCAAGAAAUGUCUUUCUUGGAUUAUUUCUAACUCAUGUGAAGCCCCACAAUAUCUGAUCUAAUUCCAGAACAAUGCCUUAAAUAGCUGCAAUCUCACUUUUACAUAAAGAACAAAGUGUGAUUUAAGUUGGUUUGUUUUUUUGUUUUGUUUUGGGUUUUUUUGUUAUCAGUGAAGAAGGGUAAAGAGGAUUCAUGCAAGCUCUGUCCGUGAGUAAUGCACAUUAGAAGUUAGGGCUCUGUGAUGUUAUUUCUUCUUAUCUGUUGUGGAUAUUGUGCUUUUCUGUUUGUUUUCAUUUGUACUUUGGCAUUAGCAAAGCCGUUCAAUGCUGCCGUGCUUUGCUUUCCACUGAGCUUAUGACCAGAACGCAGCAGCAAUGGAGCAAGCUUUCUGAUGCUAAAGAGCAAGGUCCGAUAUGUACUACACAAGUCUGUUCUGAGGCCUCAUUCAUCUUUUAGAAAAAACAGUUGUGGGUGUUCUCCACAGGUGCAGGGAGCUGUGCUGGCCAAAGCACUCUCCCCUAGGAUGAGGAUAUGCCAGAUCCUUGUAGCGCACACCAUGAAUCAUUUACCGCAGGUCAACUUGUUUCCAUGUAAUACAUGUUUUUCCCUGAUGUCCACAGCUGACUUUUCAAUCACCAGCAGCCUUUAUAGCUAAGAGAAAAUUUAAAAAAAGAACCCCAAAGUGUCUUCCAAUUGGGACUGGUGUAAUCUGAGCAGUGAGCUAAAUUGCUGAGGCUUACCUUAAGGGUGGCAUUCCAUGCUUUUGGAUUUACCUUUGCUGCAGACUUAUGAUUUAAUAUUCCUUUUCUCCAGCAUGUCAACUUGGGAAUGGUGGUUUCAAGUACAUUACAAAAAGGGAAGUUUAAAGUGGCCUAAUUAAUACCAUAUUUUCCCAGUUUUUAAAUGUUGAUUGUUGAAUAAGCAACCUCUUUCAGGUACAACAGUUCCUUCACUUGCGGAGAAGCAGUUUGAGACAUUUUCCUCAUGUUGUUAGCAGAAAACUGAAGGAGUAUUUAUGAUGCUCAGAUUAAACUAUCCCCUACUGUUGUCCUUUUGGCCUGCAACUCCUGGUGCUGUCGUGAAAAAUUUUCUGAACAGCCAGUUGUAAGCAGUCAGGCUGGGACUGUGUACCAGUCUGUUGCACAAGGUUCUUUGCUUAAGUGUCUUUCACCUCUGUCCAGCUUCUGGAAACUUCGGGGCUGGGAGAACAAACCAGUCAAGAUCAUGAUGUAUUAAACAAGUGUGUAUAAAACCUGGGUGCAGAGACAUCCAUUCAUAUCUGACACCUUUCCCACAAGCCGUGGCAGAGGCAUUUUCAUAGGAGGAGUGGUGAAGUGUCCCACAACUCAGCAGUUUGCCUUUUGACAAUUUGCCCUUUGGUCAUGGAGCAACAUCCAGAUUUCUCAUGGUCAGCCAAGCCCUGUGGACAGCUCUGCAGGCAUGUCUGGCAAUUGCAUGGAGUCACCAGGAUAACAGAAAAUAGCACGAAAUGCAUUCAGCUUUCCAGAGAUGAGCUUUUCAAGGUCAGUAUCAGUAUUUUUAUUGCCUUGCCAAAACCCAAAUGUGUUCCACAUUCCACCUGCUUCCCUUCCAGAAGUCUGAAAUGAUUAAGAUUCCUGUUUGGUGAGUUUUUCCUAAGAGAUUUUUGGUUUUGAAUUCUUGGUCCUCCAUCAAUCAUGGUAUUAUGAAAAUGCUUAUUUCUGCCAUCCCUCCUCCUUCCAGUGUUCUUUUCAGGAGGUACAGAAUAGCAUAACAAUCUCUGAGAAAUAUUAAGACUUUCAAAUGGUGAGUGUUCUUCAAUUAUUCAUUCUUCUCCUUUUUUUUCCAUAAACUGCAGAUGUUUAAGAAGUGAUAAUUAGAAGAGCCUCCUGUUUUUGACAGAUGCUGCCCUAUAACUGACUUCGUGUAUCCAGCAAAUACUGACUGUGAGGACUGUAAAGGGUUAUUACACAUAUUUUGUCCUUAAAUUUAUAGCACUUUUUUUCAUUGUUAGUUUUAAAAUACAGAAAUUCUUGGUGACAAACUGCAGUGGUAUUUGCAGAGCAGUUCACUUUUCAUGCUUGCUGCACAGGUUUUGCAUGACUUGCAUUUCACCAGAUAUGGUUCGGGGUUUGGGUGCAAGUGGUGUUUGAAAGUCCUUAGUUAACAGAAUAAAAAAACGAAACAAAUGAAAAAUUUGCAAGUGCAUCAUCUGAAAAGACCAAGCUCUGUAGUGUUGUAAAUUUUGAUAUUUUCAUCAUUUUCUAUUGCAGGAAGGAAAAAUACUUGGAUGGUGAUGUAAAAUAGUUUAUUUGAACAUAUUUUGGACCGUUCUGUCUACCCUCAUAAAAUUGCAGGAAAACAUAAAUUGCUUCAACUACAAGUAUUUUGAUCCUUAUCCAAAAUAUUUACUGUAAUCUUAAGGCUUUUGCAACAUUGUCUCUAUUGAAGCAGCAAAAGUAUUGGAGAGUUCUUCUGACUUGUUUAGCACAGUAUUAAAGAAAUAAAGGAAGUUGCUGUAAAAACAAGAGGAACACUGUUGUCUGGCUAUGCCUUGUACCGCUGAUCUCUUACCAUGAUCGAGGAUUGUUCUGAUGAGAAAGGAAAUUACUAGAGUCACAGAUGAUGAACUCUAGCUAGUGAGAAGCUAAGGAAUUGGCUUAUCUAGCCUCGAGUGUUCAGAGUGAGAUUAAUUUCUUCAGACCCUGUUUUCCAAUGCUUCCCAGCUGGCAUUUCCAACACUUGUGUCAUGGAAGUUCUUCUGCCUCCCACUCCUGACAUACCACUCCUACAUGGUUAAUCAAAUUUCAACAGUUCUUCACAGCCCAGUGGAAUCAUCACAGACCCAUUAUAUUUAGCUGAGUCAUGCUGCUUUGUAUUCAUGUUUUGAGCUAUGGAGGUGGUCAUGUCAAUUAGGUGGAUGCUGAGCAGCUGUGAGAUUGGAUGAAAGAGUUAUGAAAUUCUCUGGAGAAAGCAGGAGGCUCUUCAAGUAACACAAAAGCAGUGGUGAUCAAGAAGCAGGAAAAUGCCUAUGCUGGGAAGGGACUGUAGAAAUCGUUAUAUGUGCCAAAUCUGUCAAGACUGAUAAUUAGUAUUAGCAAUAAGUUAUGCAGUUAUCAUCAGAUCACAAUGAAAUAAUGACAGCAAGUUUAACAGGAUGUUUAUGUAGUUAAUCCUUUGGUUGAUGUAUUGUUUGUAAAGUACUACAAUGGUAAUGAAACUGUCAUGCCUCCAGUGAGGCCUCUUAAAUGAAAUAAAAACAAGCUGGUACAUGGCUAAAAUUGAGACUGUACAAUUCUGCAUGGUGCUGCUCUAUUCACCAUGUCAUGUUCCUGUUAGACCAAAACAGGAUCAGGGAAGUCUGAAGUGAGAGGUGCUGAAAGAAACUAGAAAAGGGAAAAGAUAGAGCCUCAGCUGCAUCUCAGGCAAUGCUGCCUGGAGGCAGAUGGGGUGAAGGUGCCUGUUACACUGAAAAGUCGGCUCUUAAAAGAGUUUCUUUGGAGUCUGUUACAGAUGCCCCGACCAGGAAGAAGAGAUGGAUGAAUUAUUCUAUAAGUGGCUGGCUGAUGUUUCACAAUUGACAGCCCUUGCUCUUACGGGAGACUUUAACCUGUGGGAUGUCUGCUGGAAACUCAACACAGUGUAGAGGAGGCAGUCUAGGAGAUUCCUGGAGUUUGUGGAAGAUAACUUUCUGUUGCAGCUGAUAAGUGAGCCUACCAGGGCUGGCGUCCCACUAGACGGCCUGUGUACAAACGGAGAAGGGCUAGUGGGAGAUGUGGUCAGAGGCCAUCUUGGACACAAACACCAGUAGAUGGUGGAGUUUUCAGUAGUCGAUGAAGUAAGGAGGGGUGUCAACAAAACUUUUACCCUGGACUUCUAGAGGGCAGAUUUUGGGCUAUUCAGGACCCUGACUCAGAAAGUCCCUUGGGAAGCAGCCCUUAAAAACAAAGGGGUCCAAGAUGGAUGGACAUACUUCAAGAAAGGAAUCUUGAAGGCACAGGAGCAGGCUGUCUCUAUGUGCCAAAAGAUAAGGCACCGGGGAAGAUGACUGGCCUGGCUGAACAACGAGAUUUUGUAGGAACUCAGGGGAAAAAAUGAGUGCGUACCACCUUUGGGAAAAGGGGCAGGCAACUCAGGAAGUGUUUAAGGAUAUCAUUAGGUCAUGCAGAAAGAAGGUGAGAGAGGUGAAAGCUCAGUUAGAACUUAAUCUGGCCACUUCUAUUAAGGACAACAAAAAGUGUUUCUAUAAAUACAUUAAUAGCAAAAGGAGGGGCAAGGAAAAUCUCCAUUCUUUAUUGGAUGCGAGGGGGAAUAUAGUCACCAAAGACAAAGAAAAGUCUGAGAUACUUAACCCCUUCUUUCCCUCAGUCUUCAACAUUAAGACCAGUUAUCCUCAGGAGAACUGGCCUCCUGAACUAGUAGAAAGGGAUGGGAGCAGAAUGGACCCCCUGUAAUGCAGGAGGAAGUAGUUAGUGACCUUCUGAGCCACUUAAUGCUCACAAGUCUAUGGGACAGGAUGGGAUUCAUCCUAGAAUGAUAAAGGGAGCUGGCAGAAGAACUUGCUAAGCUGUUCUCCAUCAUUAAUCACUAGUCCUGGAUAACAGGGGAGGUCCCAGAUGACUAGGCGUUGACCAAUGGGAUGCCCAUCCACAAGAAGGGCUGGAAGGAGGAUCCAGGGAACUCUACAGACCUGUCAACCUGACCUUUGUGCUCAGCAAGGUUGUGGGGCAGAUCAUCUAGAGUGUAAUCACAUGGCACAUAAAGGACAACCAGGAGAUCAGGCCUAGCCAGCAUGGAUUUAGGAGGGCCAGGUCCCACCUGACCAAUCUGAUCUCCCUUUAUGAUCAGGUGAGCCGCCUGGUGGAUGAGGGGAGGGCUGUGGAUGUGUCUACCUGGACUUCAGCAAAGCC